GGCGUAGCUCAGUGGGAGGGCAUCUUGAUUUGCAUGCAGAAUGUCCCAAGUUCAAUUCCUGGCAUCUCCA